rnacentral:rRNA from 1 species
AGCCAUCCUUGGGAUACCACCCUUGUAGUACUGGGACUCUAACCAUAGGCCAUGAAUCUGGUCUUGGGACACUGUCAGGUGGGCAGGUUGACUGGGGCGGUCGCCUCCCAAAAGGUAACGGAGGCGCGCAAAGGUUCUCUCAGUACGGUCGGAAAUCGUACGUAGAGUGUAAAGGCAAAAGAGAGCUUGAUUGCAAGACAUACAGGUCGAGCAA